rnacentral:snoRNA from 1 species
GUGCCCUUUUAAGGCUGACGCAGUGCUUCAAGAGGCUAACACAGAAGGGCAAAGAAAGUCUCUAUAAACCCCAGAGAAGAGAUUCUAAGACUCUUUUCUUUUGGAUCCCGUUUGGAGUCGCAGCU